rnacentral:rRNA from 1 species
UACGAAGGGGGCUAGCGUUGCUCGGAAUCACUGGGCGUAAAGGGUGCGUAGGCGGGUUUUUAAGUCAGGGGUGAAAUCCCGAGGCUCAACCUCGGAACUGCCUUUGAUACUAUUGGUCUUGAAUGUUGUUGAGGUGGGCGGAACGGGUCAUGUAGCGGUGAAAUGCAUAGAUAUGACCCGGAACACCGAUUGCGAAGGCAGCCCGCUAAGGCAACUAUUGACGCUGAGGCACGGAAGCGUGGGGAGCAAACAGG